rnacentral:rRNA from 1 species
GAUGAACGCUGGUGGCGUGCCUAAUACAUGCAAGUCGAGCGAACGGACGAGAAGCUUGCUUCUCUGAUGUUAGCGGCGGACGGGUGAGUAACACGUGGAUAACCUACCUAUAAGACUGGGAUAACUUCGGGAAACCGGAGCUAAUACCGGAUAAUAUUUUGAACCGCAUGGUUCAAAAGUGAAAGACGGUCUUGCUGUCACUUAUAGAUGGAUCCGCGCUGCAUUAGCUAGUUGGUAAGGUAACGGCUUACCAAGGCAACGAUGCAUAGCCGACCUGAGAGGGUGAUCGGCCACACUGGAACUGAGACACGGUCCAGACUCCUACGGGAGGCAGCAGUAGGGAAUCUUCCGCAAUGGGCGAAAGCCUGACGGAGCAACGCCGCGUGAGUGAUGAAGGUCUUCGGAUCGUAAAACUCUGUUAUUAGGGAAGAACAUAUGUGUAAGUAACUGUGCACAUCUUGACGGUACCUAAUCAGAAAGCCACGGCUAACUACGUGCCAGCAGCCGCGGUAAUACGUAGGUGGCAAGCGUUAUCCGGAAUUAUUGGGCGUAAAGCGCGCGUAGGCGGUUUUUUAAGUCUGAUGUGAAAGCCCACGGCUCAACCGUGGAGGGUCAUUGGAAACUGGAAAACUUGAGUGCAGAAGAGGAAAGUGGAAUUCCAUGUGUAGCGGUGAAAUGCGCAGAGAUAUGGAGGAACACCAGUGGCGAAGGCGACUUUCUGGUCUGUAACUGACGCUGAUGUGCGAAAGCGUGGGGAUCAAACAGGAUUAGAUACCCUGGUAGUCCACGCCGUAAACGAUGAGUGCUAAGUGUUAGGGGGUUUCCGCCCCUUAGUGCUGCAGCUAACGCAUUAAGCACUCCGCCUGGGGAGUACGACCGCAAGGUUGAAACUCAAAGGAAUUGACGGGGACCCGCACAAGCGGUGGAGCAUGUGGUUUAAUUCGAAGCAACGCGAAGAACCUUACCAAAUCUUGACAUCCUUUGACAACUCUAGAGAUAGAGCCUUCCCCUUCGGGGGACAAAGUGACAGGUGGUGCAUGGUUGUCGUCAGCUCGUGUCGUGAGAUGUUGGGUUAAGUCCCGCAACGAGCGCAACCCUUAAGCUUAGUUGCCAUCAUUAAGUUGGGCACUCUAAGUUGACUGCCGGUGACAAACCGGAGGAAGGUGGGGAUGACGUCAAAUCAUCAUGCCCCUUAUGAUUUGGGCUACACACGUGCUACAAUGGACAAUACAAAGGGCAGCGAAACCGCGAGGUCAAGCAAAUCCCAUAAAGUUGUUCUCAGUUCGGAUUGUAGUCUGCAACUCGACCACAUGAAGCUGGAAUCGCUAGUAAUCGUAGAUCAGCAUGCUACGGUGAAUACGUUCCCGGGUCU